GUCCCAGCCGCCAGCCGCGCGCCUGUGUCGGUGGUGGUGCGGCGCGGCGGGGGGCGCACGGUGCGAGGCCCGGGGGCGGUGCGGGUGCGGUCGCGGACAACCACAGCGCGCCCGGCGCCGGGGCGGUGGCCCCGCAGCCCAGGGUGGCGGCGGAGGUGCCCACCAGCCACCGUCUAGGCCGUCGUGCGAGCAGCUGAGAUGGCGUGGUGGCGGUAGCAGCUCUAGGCUGGCGCAGUGGCGGCAGUGCCACGCGGGGCCGCCGCGCGGGGGCAGGUAGUCCCAGCUACCAGCGCGCCAGCCCCCGAGCUUGUCGACCGACCAGUAGCGGCCGGGUGGCGGCCCGAGGCGCUCGGCAUACGGGUAGGGGAAGUCGGCGAACCACCAGGGCUCCAGGCCUCCGAGCGACGCUCCGCCCAGGCUCUCCGAGUCCUCCGAGUCCGAAGGCGAAGGCUCGAGGUCCAGGCGCCUCCCCUGCCUCCUCGCUCCCUUUCCUACCCUGGAGAAGGCCAGUAGGAAAUCCAUGCGGUGGGUGGGCCCUAGGCAAUGCCUCAGGCGCCAGUACACCAGGUGUUCCCAGGCGAAGACCAGCAAAGAGAGGCCCAUGGCUACGAGGAGCAUGUAGAAGACACCUGCCAUGUUGUCGAUAUCCAGCUUGCUGCUCAUCACCUCGAUCUUGUCAUUGUGGCAGAUCCCUGAAAGCCACAGCCGCUCCAGCAUCUCAAUCUCAUCUGAGGAUGGGGUCAGAGUCACUUAUUAGGAGCACACUCUCCUCUGAUACAGAGUCCAGGCCCCAACCCCUUCCAUUCUUAAAGACCCUCCUCCCCAGGACCGAGGGUCAGCCCUCCCCUCUCCAGAGGAGGACUUCAUGCCCAGCAUAGCCGCACCAUCCCCCAGGAACUGCAGCAGCGCCAGGUCGAUGGGCCUCUUCCAGCGGGAGCCCUUGUGUAGGGCGAUGCCAUAACCAGUGGUGGCGAAGACCUUGCCGGAGCCGAUGGUGACCAGCUUGCAGCCCUCAUCCUUGCGGGCCAUGUAGUUGAGCACUGCUGCGUCAUAGAUGAAGGCGUCCAGUUUCCUGAGGACAGGGGCAGGAAAGACAGGGUCAGUCUCAUUUAGAUGACUUCACAGCACUCCAGGAACGCCUUUCAUCUGUAACCUGCAACUGCUCAGGAUCGACUGAGCAGAUAUUCCUUGUGGUUCUUUCCCACAUUGGUAAAACAUCAUUAUUCUAAAUACCACCAAGCCCAAGCUUUUGCAGAAGUGACAGUUCCUGGUAGGAAAGCGGCUCUGGAGAAAUGACAGCCAUUGUAA